rnacentral:rRNA from 1 species
UACGUAGGUGGCAAGCGUUGUCCGGAUUUACUGGGCGGAAAGAGCGCGCAGGCGGUCGUGCAAGUCGCGUGUGAAAGCCCCCGGCUCAACUGGGGAGGGUCACGCGAUACUGCUCGACUGAAAGGCAGGAGAGGGAAGCAGAAUUCCCGGUGUAGUGGUGAAAUGCGUAGAUAUCGGGAGGAAUACCAGUGGCGAAGGCGGCUUCCUGGCCUGUUCUUGACGCUGAGGCGCGAAAGCUAGGGUAGCAAACGGG